ACAACAACAACAACAACAGCAACAGCAACAACAACAGCAAUAGCAACAGCAUCAACAACAACAUAUCUAUCAUCCUCAGGGCCAACCAUAGCAGCACUUACCCAUGAAAAGUCCUCAAGUCCUCCACACCAUCACCAUACCGCCCUACUUGCCACCAUACUGGUGGUGGCGUCUGGAGGGGGCCUCUU